rnacentral:rRNA from 1 species
GCCUACAGCCAUGCCAUUCUGAACACACUCGAUCCCAUCUGAUCUCAGAAGCUAAGCAGAGUUAGGCCUGGUUAGUACUUAGAUGGGAGACCACCUAGGAAGAUAGGUGCUGUAGAUG